rnacentral:rRNA from 1 species
CCUACGGGUGGCAGCAGUAGGGAAUAUUGCUCAAUGGGGGAAACCCUGAAGCAGCAAAGCCGCGUGGAGGAUGAAGGUUUUCGGAUUGUAAACUCCUUUUGUUAGAGAAGAUAAUGACGGUAUCUAACGAAUAAGCACCGGCUAACCCCGUGCCAGCAGCCGCGGUAAUACGGAGGGUGCAAGCGUUACUCGGAAUCACUGGGAGGAAAGAGCGCGUAGGCGGGAUAGCAAGUCAGAUGUGAAAGCCUAUGGCUUAACCAUAGAACUGCAUUUGAAACUGGUAUUCUAGAGUAUGGGAGAGGUAGGUGGAAUUCUUGGUGUAGGGGUAAAAUCCGUAGAGAUCAAGAGGAAUACUCAUUGCGAAGGCGACCUGCUAGAACAUAACUGACGCUGACGCGCGAAAGCGUGGGGAGCAAACAGGAUUAGAUACCCCUGUAGUC